AUUUGCCUCACGUUCAGAUUUGUUAGGAUCCGCACAUGAAAGUUUUCUUCGUCUAUAAUUUCUUGAAUGUUUGUUCCUUGUUACAAGAUACCAAGAAGAUACACCCAUACUGUUUUUGCAAUGGGAAGAGUGUGGAUUUACACUGUCAUUCUGUUUUUUUCUUUUGUUUUUGGAAAUUUGGCAGCAAAUUUGAAGUGUGAAUCAUUCAUCAAGGACUACCAAGCUGUGCUAUGCUGUUAUACUUCUGCACUGAUUCAUAAUGAUAUGCAUCAACUUAUCUGCAACAAAAAUGGUGAAACCUUUCUUAAUUUUUUUGCCGAUCAUUUGGGUAAUAAACAAAAAGAAUUGCCAAAAUAUGAAGUGAAUGUAGAUGACAUCAAGCAUGGAAACAUUUUCAUAACCAUUAAUAAUUUUAAUGAAUUAGACUUUGGGAAAUAUUGCUGUAUUAUAAAGUUUAAGGAUUUUUUCCGUGAAAACUGUGGAGAAGGUGCUGUCAUGAUACCUGGCAACAGUGAACAAGACCGAGAAAGAUAUACAACGUCUGAUGCUUUAAUCACCAGCAGCACAUGUAAAGUGGUCCAGGAACCUAAUAGAAACAGGAAUAACAACAAAGCUUCACUCGCAGAUCCGCAGAAUAACAGUACUAAAGAGAAGAGAAAUCUUUCUGCUGCCACAAUACUCUGCAUUGUGCUUCUACUCAUUCUUUUCUGAAAGGAUGAAAUGAUGAAGGUUAUAAUCAUGCUUUUUAGAAUGAAAACAAGCAACCAAACUGAACUGCAUUAUGGAUGUUAAAAUGACAUGCUGAGGAUACUCUGAAUUGAAGGACCUGACAUUCUUUCAUAAAGCCAACACAAAACUCAUGUGGAGAAAAUUCAGACACUACUGACUACUGACUUCCAAGGAGUUAAAGCUCUGAAGGUGGUAACUUGUGCAUUUUUCGAAAGUAAGAACGCAGACAUACACACACACAAUCAAUGGUGAAGUAUGCAGUAAACACAUUUUUCACUUGUGUUACAUGUACUUUGUAAAUGGGAGUUGUUUCUCAUUCAGUUUUAGACACUUUAUAGACUUAUACACAGUAUAUAUUAUGUUUUUUAAGUUUAUGCCAGUCACUAUCUAAUAAGAAGACCUCAAAUAAUUCUCAUGUAGUGAGCUGUUCUUAAGUGGUGCUCAGAUCUUCUGACAAACCCAUUUUGGUGCUCAGGAUGCCAACAAAAAAGAAGCCUGUGAAUGACCAGUGUGGUUAUCCAUUCCUGCCCUUAAUUGUAUCUUUUAUUCCUGUGUACUUCUGUAGAAUUAUUGGUCUAGGGCUGUCCCUGCUUGUUCAUUUUUACAAUAUGGAGUCUUCUGAAUGGUAUGGCUGUAGCAUUAACAUCUGAACACACUUGCCCUCUUAAGCAUUAUAAGAUUUUUGGGUCCAUAUUGUCACAUGUACAUAGUACAGUAAACUUCUUACUUGCAUGUAUUAAUCAACAUGAAACACGUCACAUCUCUCCAGUGAUAUGAUUAGUGAGUAUAACCACCUUACCUCGAAACCUCUGUCUUCCUUACUUGGAAAAACUCUGAGCAAUAUGCUGCUGUGUACAUGUGCCAACUCUAUUAUUAACACAUUGUGUAUGCUGUGAAAGUGUUUUUAAUUUCUCUUUUUAAUUACUCAUUUGUCUGUUAUUUAAUUGUCCUCCUGUUUGUAAUUGCUAUCACAGAUUUUUGGCUGUUACAUUUGUCUUUUUAUUCUGUUUUGAAUUACUAUGUUUUCCUUCUACUACUUAUAUGGAAUAAGGGUUCACUGGCUGGACGACAUUUUACAUACACUAGUCUGGGAUGCAUUUGUAAAGAAGCACUUAGAGUGAAAAUAUGCAGUGCAUGUUCUGUUGUUACUGAGUUUGGUACUUUUCUAAUUUAUUAGUAGAGCUGCUGCUGUGUGUUAAAGACAAGCUGAUGAUCAAACAAGCCAAUGACGAAGUGUUAAUGCAUUGCAAAGUUAACUUAAUUUGUCCAUAUAUCUUAAUUAAUAUUUAACUAUGGUUAAAUGCUUAUUAGUUUACACUAAAUAAGUGUUGACAUGGUACAUUUGGGUUUUUUUAAACGGUAGUCGCCAAUUAAUAUUUGGGCCUUUUGCCAGCAUUCCUAUUUUAUUAAUCUCCACUCUUUUAAACAGACUCACCACUGUAGUAAGGACGAUGGGACGGAUCAGUCAAUUCUAGAGUUCUAAUAAUUUACUCCUGACCCCCCUUAAAAAUAUCAGGGCUUUAUCUACCCAAUUUGUUGAAUUCUAAGCUAUACUCUACUCCCAGUAUGGACAAUGUAUCUUAAUUUGCCAGAUGUUUACGGCAUUAAACACCAGACAUGGUGGAGUUUGAUUUUGAACACUGUGAGCCAUUAAUCUAAAAAAAAAUUUUUGUAAUACUCUGUGCUUUCUUUCUACUUUGGAAGUUUAUAUUUGUAUUUUUCAAU